rnacentral:lncRNA from 1 species
UGACUAUGUAGCAGUUAAGGAAAAAACUGAAGAACCAGUAGUUGAGGAAAAACAUGAAGAACCGGCAAUUGAAGAGAAAUCUGAAGAAUCAGCAUUAAUGAAAAAAACUGAAGAACCAGCGGUUGAGGUAAAACCUGAAGAACCGUCAGUGGAAAAGAAGCCUGAAGAACCAGCGGUUAGGAAAAAACCUGAAGAACCAGCAGUUAAUGAGGAACCUGAAAAAUCAGCAACGGAAGAGAAACCUGAAGAACCAAUUGUUGAGGAGAAACUUGAAGAACCAACUCUUGAAGAGAAACCUGGAAAAUCAGUAAUUGAAGAAACACCUGAAGAACCAACACUGGAAGUAACACCUAAAGAACAAGCGUUUAAAGAGAAACCAGAAGAACCAGCAGUUGAAGAGGAAAAAUCUGACAAGGUAACUCUUUUGGAAAAGGUGAGCAUCAAACAUUGUCACAAAUUUUAGCCAUCCUACUAGUUCUGUAUGUGCAAUAAUUCGUAUCAACUUAUCUAUUGAAAGACUAAGUGAAACUUUAAUUCUUCUUGCAGAAUAUACCAGUUGUAGAUUUCAAUGAUAAGACUGACAGUGUAAUUCCAUGCAAUACCAACGACGAUGUUGCUGAAUACGUAGCAGUUGAGGAAAACCUUGAAGAACCAACAGUUGAGGAGAAACCUGAAGAAUUAGCGGUUGAAGAGAAACCUGAAAAACCAGCAAUUGAGGAGAAAAGUGAAGAACCAAUAAUUGAGAAGAAACCUAAAGAACCAGCAGUUGAGGAGAAACCUGAAGAACAAACCGUUGAAGAGAAACUUGAAGAACCAACAAUUGAAGAUGAGAAACUUGAAAGGGUAACUCUCCUAGAAAAGGUGAGGAUCUAGCAUUGUCACAAAGUUUGUCCAUCCUAAUAGUUUUAUAUGUGCAAGCUUUUCAGAUCUGCUUAUCUAUUGAAAGACUAAGUGAAACUUUAAAUUCUUCUUACAGAAUAUGCCAGUUGUAGACUCGAACGACAAGACUGACUGUGAAAUUCCAUGCAACACCAACAAUGAUGUUGCUUACUAUCCAGCAGUUGAGGAAAAUCUUGAAAAAACAACAAUUGAGGAAACAACUGAUGAACCAGUGGUUGAAGAGAAACCUGAUGCACAAGCGAUUAAGGAGAAACCUGAAGUACCAACGAUUGAGCAGAAACUUGAAGAGUUAGCAGGAGAGGAAACCCAUGAAGAACUAGCAGUUGAAGAGAAGCUAGAAGAACCAAUUACUGAAGAGACACCUGCAGAACUAGUUAUUGAAGAGAAACAUGAAAACCCAACAAUUGAAGAGGAGAAACCUGAAACAGAAGCUCUCCUAAAGAAGGUUAGGAUUAAACACUGUUUCAAAAUUUAUCCAUCCUAUUAGCUUUAUAUGUGCAAGGAACUCACAUAUGUUAAUCUACUGAAAGACUAAGUCAAACUUUCAAGUUUUCUUGCAGAAUAUGCCAAUUGUAGACUCAAAGGACAAGAUUGACGUUGAAAGUCCAGGCAAUAACAACAAUGAUGGUGCUGACUAUCCAGCAGUUGAAGAUAAACCUGAAGAACUAACAGUUGAAGAAAAACAUGAAGAACAAGCAAUUGAAGAGAAACCUGAAGAACCAGUGGCCACAGAGAAACCUGAAGAACCAGCGAUUAAGGAAAAAGCUGAUGAACCAGCAGUGCAAGAGAAACCUGAAGAACCAGCUGUGGAAAAGAAACCUGAAGAACCAGCAGUCGAGGAGAAACUUGACGAACCACCAGUUGAAGAGAAAUCAGAAGAACCAGUAGUUGAACAAACACCUGCAGGACCAGCAUGGGAAGAAACAUCUAAAGAACUAGCAUUUGAAGAGAAACCUGAAGAACCAGCAGUUGAAAAAACACCUGAAGAACUAGCAGUUGGAAAGAACCCUGAAAAAACAGCAGUCGGAGAGAAACAUGAAAAAGUAACUCUCUUGGAAAAGGUGAGGAUCAAGCACAAUCACAAAUUUUAUCCAUCCUAUUAGUUAUGUAUGCGCAACAAUUCACAUUUGCCUGUUGGAAGAUUAAGUUAAACUUUAAAUUCUUCUUGCAGAAUAUACCAAUUAUAGAGUUAAACGAGAAGAAUAACAGUGCAACUCCAUGCAAUACCAACAAUGAUGUUGCUGACUAUCCAGCAGUUGAGGAAAAACCUGAAGAACCAGCGAUUGAGAAAAAACCUGAAGAACCAAUGGCUAAGGAGAAACUUGAAGAACCAAUUGUUGAGGAUAAACCUGAAAAAUCAGUGAUAGAGGAGAAAUCUGAAAAACUAGCAACUGAAGAAACACUUGGAGAGCAAGCAGGGGAGGAAACACCUGAAGCACUAGCAGUUGAAGAGAAACCUGACAAAUCAACAGUUGAAGAGACAGUUGAAGAACUAGCUAUUGAACAGAAACCUAAAAAAACAGCAGUUGAAAAAGAGAAACCUGAAGCCGUAACUCUCCUGGAAAAGGUGAUCAAGCACUGUCACAGAGAUUCCUUGCUCUAUACGUGCAAGGAAUUUACAUCUACUUAUCUACUGAAAGAUUUAGUGAAACUUUAAAUUCUUCUUGCAGAAUAUGCCAGUUGUAGAUUCAAAGGACAAGAUUAACAGUGAAAUUCCAUGCAAUGCCAACAAUGAUGUUUUUGACUAUCCAGCAGUUGAGGCAAAACCUGAAGAACUAGCAAUUGAAAAAAAAUAUGAAGAACCAGUAGUUAUAUUGGAGAAACCUGCAGAACUAGCAGUUGAGGAGACACCUGAAAAAUCAGUAGUUGAAGAGAAGCCUGAAAAACCAGCAGCACGGGAAGAAGCACUUGAAGAACCAGCAUGGGAAGAAACACCUGAAGAACCAACAGUUGAAGAGAAACUUGAUAAACCAGCAACUGAAAAAGAGAAACCUGAAAAGGUAACUUUCCGCGAAAAGGUGAGGAUCAAGCACUAUCACAAAGUUCGCCCAUCCUAAUAGUCUUGUAUGUGCAAGGAAUUCACAUAUGCUUUUUUAUUGAAAGACUAAGUGAAACCUUCAAUUCUUCUUGCAGAAUAUGCCUGUUGUAGACUCAAAUGGUAAGACUGGCAGUAAAAUUACAUGCACUACCAAAAAAGAUGUUGCUGAUAAUCCAGCAGUUGAGGAUGAAGAACCAGCAGUUGAGGAUAAACCUGAUGAACCAACAGUUGAAGAAAAACCUGAAGAACCAGCAAUUGAAGGAAAACUUGAGAAACUGGCAGUUGAAGAUAAACUUGAGGAACCAGCUUUUGAACAGAACCCUGAGGAAACAGCAGUUGAACAGAACCCCGAGGAACCGCCAGUUGAAGAAAAACCUGAGGUACCAGUAGUUGACGAAAAAGCUGAAGAACUAGUGGUUGAAGAGAAACUUGAAGAACCAUCAGUUAAAGAAAAGCCGGAAGAACAAAGCAGGGAAGAAACCGAAGCUCCCAUAAAAGAGGCAAAGCAUAACCAGAAUGCAAAUGAAGCAAGCAGCAGUCUGCCAACAGCUAUGCUAAGCCAUCCGCCUGCUCAAGGGACAACAAUGACCAACCCAAUAUUGGGAGAACCAAUUAGUAUUGACGAACCUAAAAAUGUGCAACAGCUAGAUUCUCAAGAAAUAUCAGAAAUCGAUGAUGCAAUGCAGAGAGAUGAAGAUAACAUAAAGCAGAAGGAUGAGGCUUCUUUCACUGAAGAACAGAAGUUUACACCACAGAGUGAGUAAUACUAGUUCACAGACAUGCUUUCCCUAUCCAAUUGAUUUUAUUUGCAAUGGAAAAUGGUGACACACUUUAGAUAACAGAUCAAAUCGAUUUAACCAUAGUCUUACUCGCAAAAAGUAGAGAAAAAUACAAAUGGAACCAAUCUCUAAAAGGAAGCUGAAAUGGAGAGAAGCACCAGAGACAAGAUGCCUUUCUGUUUUGGAGAAACCUCGAAAAAGUAGAAUGCACAUCCACAGUAUUUAGCAAUAAUGAUCAUCUAUCAUUACAUAUAUGAACAUAAUUUAUUUAUUACUACAUUGAUAUAAUAAAGAAAUCCUAUGAUAUGCUUUUGCUAAGAUAUUAGGGCUAGCAGCAUUCAUUAAGCCAUAAAUUCCAAUAUGGAUGUAACAAGCACUUUUUUGGGGGUUCAAAGAGAUGCACUUUCUAGUCACUUCAAUAAUGACUAGAUGUGGUAUUAACUACUACCGACAUAUUGCAGGUUAUGACAAUCAAAAUACUUCGACAGGGGAUAGUUUCUUAAAUAAGAACAUGUUCGCUGAAGGUGAAGCUGUGCACAUUAAUAGUCAAGAGGAUCUAAUCAGGCAAGAAACUUCAGGAAGCACAAAAUCUGAGAUAAAUCCAAAUUCAAGUAAAGGAACAGAAAAUGAGGCAAGUGAUAUUGCUAAUAGAGAAGGAUCAAGCAGACUUGGUUAAGUAAAUAAUUUAGUUGCUCUUCGUCCUUAUUGUUCUAAACUUGAUGAGCUACUUGGUUAUGCAGGUAAAUGACCAUCCAGAAGGACCAGAAGUACCAAAACAAACUGAUGAAACGGAAAAAUGUAUAGUACAGAAGCAAGAAGAUUCCGUUCGCAACCAGGACGAACUGGCUGUUGAAGAAAAAAUGAGAUCUUGUGAAGAGGUUGAAACAAAGGUAUUAGAUGAUCUGGCUUCUAUUAAUACUCUGAUCUUUCCUGUCCAUAGACUAAUGAUAGCCAAAACUAUAACUUCAAAACAUAUAAACAAACUUAAAGAUAUAAAUGCUGGUGAUGGAAUGGAACAAAUAAAAACAUUAUGGAAAAAGAAGAAAAGACUUUGGACAAAAUUCUGACGUCCACCAAAGAAGAAAUUGGUACCAAGAACUCUGAAGAAGGCCAAGUGGUUUCAGAGAUUCCCAGUCAAGAGUUUAAGUGACCAUAGAAGCCUGUUCUUAAUUCAUAUAUGUAACUCUCAGAUAUAAAGAUGCCUUCUCUCUUUCUACUAAAAUCACAAAAUUCCCUCUUUUUCAAAUCUGCAGAACUUUCAACAAGCUAAUUUAAUCAGAGAUGAAGCUUUAUUGAAAGAUGAGCAUGGAGUCGAGAACUUCGUGGUAGUUUCUUCAGAAGAAAUUAGUUGUGAAGGCUCUAUUGAAAAGUUAAACGAAAUGAGAACCUGAGAAUGAAUCAGCCAAUUAGCAUCAAGGCACUCAUAUGACAACCAUUCACUGAGGGUCUUAAGUUUAUUGCAUGCAUAUGAAUUAUCUUGCCACCUUGUCUUUCUGGGAGAAAUAUUAAAAUUCAAGUCUGAAAGUAUUUGAAGUAUAUAGUUCGUAGUAACUACUAACUACUAUAAAUUUAAAGUUCUCCAUAUAAAACAAAAUAAGUCUUCACUUCCUUUCCCAGAGUUUUUGUUUAUUCUGUAGUUAUUGCACAAAAUGGGAAACAAUAGAUGAUAAGAUGAUAUAUACAAGAAAUAGAAAAUUAAUUCACUGCUGAUAGAGUAUAUUCUAUUGCACAAAUAUCAACCAUCUUUGCUCUUUUAUUUGUUUAUUUAUUUAUUUUGUUCGAGGCUAUUACAAGUGAGACAUCCUAGUAUCAUUGGGAUUCAUAUGCGCUUCUUUUGAAAACUAAGUCGAAACAAAAAUUAGCCAAAUGCUGACAAAUGGGUAUGACUUAUUUUUCUGAAAAAGAACGGACCAUUGACAUUGCAAAUCGAGUAUUCCUUUGAGUCUUUGAAACAAUAAGUUGCAAGGGAAGGUUUAAGCAAAUUUCAAAUAUUGCAGGUAGAUGCCUUCAUGCAUUUAUUCUGAUCAUUUUAUUGGUUUUCUUCGGCAGACUCUUUUAACAUUGACAAAAAGAAAGAUUCUUCUUGGAGAAUUAUCAGUUAAUAAAGGAAGAGGCAGUGGAAACUCUUUCUCGGGGAAUUCCAAAAUAUGACCUUAAGAGAAUUCACAUGACGUUAAGCUAGAAACCAAGGACUUAAACCACUAGGCCACGGCAACUGUAUUUCAGUUAUAAACAGGAAUCUUGCUAAAAUAAGAAGUCCCAAAAAUCAUCAUGUAGACAUCUGUUAACUUGAUAUAAUGCUCGGCAGUUGACAAUUACUAAAACCAUCUGGAGAUUAAGAUAUGAACACCUUCUUCUCUCGUUAGAAUGAUUCUUAUAUGCAUAACUCCUUGUCCUUUUCUCACCAGUGUAUGUAACAUACUAAACAAUGGUAGCACUCAAAAUAUUCUGAGCAAUCACGAUCAUUGUUGCAGAACAGUUGAGCAUGUGUAAUAACCCUAUGCGAGAUGCAACCAAAAGAAUUCCACCAUCCUAUUAGUUCCGUAUGUGUAAGGAAUUCACAUCUACUUAUCUAUUGAAAGACUAAGUGAAACUUUAAAUUCUUCUUGUAGAAUAUGCCGGUUGUAGACUCGAACGACAAGACUGACAGUGAAAUUUCAUGCAAUACCGACAAUGAUGUUGCUGACCAUCCGGCAGUUGCAGAAAAACCCGAUGAUUCAGCAGUUGAAGAGAAACCCGAGGAAUGGAUAGUUGAAGAGAAACUGGAAGAAACAGCCGUUAAGGAGAAAGCCGAAGAACCAAAAGUUGAGGAGAAACUCGAAGAACCAGCAAUUGAGGAGAAACCUGACAAACCAGCGGUUGAAGGGACACCUGAAGAACCUGCAGUGAAAGAAACACCUGAACAACCAACGUUUGAAGAGAAACCUCAAGAACCAGCAAUUCAGGAGAAACCUGAAGAACCAACAGUUGAAAAGAAACCUGAAGAACCAACAAUUGAUGAAGAACUUGAAGAACCAACAGUUGCGGAGAAACCCGAAGAACCAGCAGUUAAAGAAAAACAUGUAGAACCAGCAAUUGAAGAAAAACGUGAGGAACCACAAGUUGAAGAAAAACAUGAGGAACCAGCAGUUGAAGAAAAAACUGAAGAACCAGCAGUUGAAGAAAAACCUAAAGAACCAAAAGUUGAGGAGAAACCUAAAGAACCAGCGGCUGAGGAGAAACCCGAAGAACCAGCAGUGAAAGAAACACCUGAAGAACCAGCGGUUAAAGAGACACCUGAGGAACUAGCAGUUGAAGAGAAACCUGAAGAACCAGCAAUUGAAGAGAAACCUGAAGAACCAGUAGCUGACAAAAAACUUGAGCAACCAACAAUUGAGGAGAAACCUGAAGAAUCAAU